GGUUUGAUCAUGGCUCAGAUUGAACGCUGGCGGGAUGUUUACACAUGCAAGUCGAACGGCAGCACGGACUUCGGUCUGGUGGCGAGUAUGAACGGGUGAGUAAUGUGUUCGGAACGUGCCUAGUAGCGGGGGAUAACUACGCGAGCGUAGCUAAUACCGGCAUACGCCCUUCGGGGAAAGCGGGGGAACCCUCGGCCUCGCACUAUUAGAGCGGCCGGACAUCGGAUUAGCUAGUUGGUGGGGUAACGGCUCACCAAGGCGACGAUCCGUAGCUGGUUUGAGAGGACGACCAGCCACACUGGGACCGAGACACGGCCCAGACUCCUACGGGAGGCAGUGGGGAAUUUUGACAAUGGGGGAAACCCCGAUCCAGCCAUCCCGCGUGCGAUGAAGCGCCUUCGGGUUGUAAAGCACUUUUGGCAGGAAAGAAACGGCACGGGAUAAUACCCCGUGCAACUGACGGUACCUGCAGAAUAAGCACCGGCUAACUACGUGCCAGCAGCCGCGGUAAUACGUAGGGUGCAAGCGUUAAUCGGAAUUACUGGGCGCAAGCGUGCGCAGGCGGUUCGGAAAAAGAAAGAUGUGAAAUCCCAGAGCUUAACUUUGGAACUGCAUUUUUAACUACCGAGCUAGAGUGUGUCAGAGGGAGGUGGAAUUCCGCGUGUAGCAGUGAAAUGCGUAGAUAUGCGGAGGAACACCGAUGGCGAAGGCAGCCUCCUGGGAUAACACUGACGCUCAUGCACGAAAGCGUGGGGAGCAAACAGGAUUAGAUACUCCGGUAGUCCACGCCCUAAACGUGAUGUCAACUAGCUGUUGUCCUUCGGGCCUUGGUAGCGCAGCUAACGCGUGAAGUUGACCGCCUGGGGAGUACGGUCGCAAGAUUAAAACUCAAAGGAAUUGACGGGGACCCGCACAAGCGGUGGAUGAUGUGGAUUAAUUCGAUGCAACGCGAAAACCUUACCUACCCUUGACAUGUCUGGAAUCCCGAAGAGAUUUGGGAGUGCUCGCAAGAGAACCGGAACACAGGUGCUGCAUGGCUGUCGUCAGCUCGUGUCGUGAGAUGUUGGGUUAAGUCCCGCAACGAGCGCAACCCGUCAUUAGUUGCUACGAAAGGGCACUCUAAUGACUGCCGGUGACAAACCGGAGGAAGGUGGGGAUGACGUCAAGUCCUCAUGGCCCUUAUGGGUAGGGCUUCACACGUCAUACAAUGGUCGGGACAGAGGGUCGCCAACCCGCGAGGGGGAGCCAAUCCCAGAAACCCGAUCGUAGUCCGGAUCGCAGUCUGCAACUCGACUGCGUGAAGUCGGAAUCGCUAGUAAUCGCGGAUCAGCAUGUCGCGGUGAAUACGUUCCCGGGUCUUGUACACACCGCCCGUCACACCAUGGGAGUGGGUUUUACCAGAAGUAGUUAGCCUAACCGUAAGGAGGGCGAUUACCACGGUAGGAUUCAUGACUGGGGUGAAGUCGUAACAAGGUAA
rnacentral:rRNA from 1 species